AAAGACUUUUGUGGGUAAUGAUUUUCAAAUCCAGGGACAUAAUGUCCCAAACCUAUUUUUAGUGCUAGAGGGUACAAAGGUAACAUUUAGACUGAUCUCCAAGAGAUACUGUUCCAUUGUGAGUGAGAACAGGGAGAUCAAUGCCCAGUCCCAUUUGGAAGGAAGUUAACCAUUUUAACUUGGAAACAAAGACGUUUUUACCUGGGGAAAGAAAAUUUUCCAGACUAAUGCCAGUUAAUCACAGGCCGCCGUAACAGCACAAUAAUUAUCCCUUGCAUGUGUAUAGCUUGCUGCCUCUACAACGCCCUUUGUUGUACCUUGUGCCAUGUCACCCCUACCACCAUGUAUAGGCAUGCAGGGCAGCCGUGCACAUUCCUAUUGCCGAAAUAAGGAAGCUGAUAUCCACGGAGGUGGUGUGACUUGCCUCAGACGACACGGCUCAUGAGGGCAUGUGCCAGGCCAGAGAGCACUGUGCCUGACUGGCAUGGGGGGGCACCUAGAAACCUCCUUACAUCUGAGCAGGUAACUCUGUCUUUCCCCACUGCUUCCUUUGGGGAUCUGGCAAAACAUUUCAGGAUCUCCAUCAGAUAAUUAAACGGAGAGAAGUUCUCAAAGAAGGAUGUACCAGGUCAGCUUCUAAGCAUGCCUGCCAGCCUGGCUCAUCAAAAUCCAAAAGCAUCCAAAUAAAAAGCCUACAGACAAGUUGUGAAUGCACCACCAUUGACCACUGGCAGCUUUAGAGAGAACAAUGAUGUCCACUUAGCCACGGAACGGCUUCACACAGAAGCAGCCUUGUCUGUUUAACGCUCUCCGCAGCCUCGCGAGCAUGAAUAUUUUUGAAGAGUCCAAGCCAACUGCCUGACAGAAUGUCCCACUGUCUGGGUUCCUCUGCUGUUUUCCGAAUGACUCGAUUCCGGUGAGACAUUCUUUGUUGCUUUAGUGUCAUGGGAGCUGAAAGAAUCAACUAGUACACAUUUUGUCUUUGAAUCAACACCCUCCAGACUCAAAGAUGGUAGACAGCGCACAGGACAGAAGGAGAGAAGGGGCCGGAGAGAGGCUCUCCUCCCAGAAGGAAACAGCAAUAAUAAAA